UGCUGAAGGAAACAAGCACUCUGCUGCC
rnacentral:piRNA from 1 species